GUCGUUCAACACCUGCAAUGACCAGACAAGAAGAGACUAGCAGUGCCUCAGAAGCUUCACCGCAAGCUUCAUCCAGCAAGAUUAGUAGUCCAGAGCAGUCUCAAAACUCCGCUGCUCCAGAUACACCGUCUAAGAAGCUGAUUUUACCUCCACCUACUACUUCUCCAACACAUCAGUCUCAACAUCCCAUGAUCACUAGAUCAAAAGCGGGAAUAACAAAGCCGAAUCCUCGUUAUGUUCUUUUCACUGUCACUACCACUCCUGCAACUCCUA
rnacentral:lncRNA from 1 species